UCAUAACAGCUAGUUUAAGGAGGCCACACAAACAUUUUCCCAGUUCCAAAUUCUACAGCGUAGGAACAGCCCCUUCCAUUUCAAUUCUGAAGCAGGGAAGCUAGGAAUGACAGGAGAGGUUUAACUGAUGGCUGCACUUUACACGUUCACUAUUAAUUACAUUUUUGUAUUAAACUAACUUGGUUACGAGAGCUACUUUUCCAUUUCUCCAGGUUGAACUUCUUGAUUAGGCCCAUCCGUUUGCAGGUGGACACUGUUUCCGCACCUCACUGAAACCCUCACUCACAGAGCUUGAAGUCACCUGGUUCUGGGCACACUCCGAAAGCUGUUCAAUCUCACAGAACCAAGGCUGCUGCUGCUGCUGUGCCAACUGGGUUCCCUGAGGCUCCUGAUUCCGGGGUGCAUGCGAAGGUUUGUGACCUGGCUGUACCACAUGCUGCUGAGCUCAGGAUCACCAGUGAUCCCAUCGCACAGGUACUGAGCAUGGUACCCAAUGGUUUGUUUUUCAACCUCUGCCUCCCCUCCUCCCUCCCCACACUAGUAGUUCCCAGUGUCUUUUGUUCCCAUCUUUAUGUCCACAAGUACCCAAUGUUUAGCUCCCACUUCCAAGUGAAAACAUACAGUAUGUGGUUUUCUGUUCCUGCUUUAAUUCACUUAGGAUAAUGGCCUCCAGCUGCAUCCAUGUUGCUGCAAAGGACAUGAUUUCAUUCCUUUUUAUGGCUACAUCAUCAAAUGUUAAAACAGGAAGUCACUUUGGUGUUAGUUCACUUGAUUCAAUCACAGCAUUUAGAGAAACUGAAGUCAAGGGGAGACAGGGCAGCUGCCAGGGGCACUAAAAUCUAAGACUUCUCUCCAACACACCUUUCCUUUCUCAGCUGCACCUUUUCUCCCUGCAGGGAUCAGAUUCUAGACCUGGCCAAGGACAGGCCCUCUACAUCUCUUGCUCUUCAGCUGCAGCUGGCAAAAAGUCUUUCUCCCUUGCAUCUCAAUAUGUGGACUAAGGACCUUCACAGUUGCUAGGGCUGUAGUAUUAAAAAUGCAACUAGGCAAGGAACCAGGACUCCAUAAAGGGAAUAGUGACCAUUGUUACCAUGUAGAUUUUUAAAAUGAAAAAAAAAAAAAAAAAAUAGCUGGGCAUGGUGGCUCACACCUAUAGUCCAGCACUUUGUGAGCCUGAGGCAGGAGGAUUGCUUAAGGCCAGGAGUUCAAGACCAGCCUUGACAAAACAGUGAGACCUCAUCUCUACAAAAAAUUAAGUAAUUAGCCGAGCAUGGUGGUGCAUGCCUGUAAUCCCAACUAUUCGGUUUAGGGGGCUGAGGUGAGUGGGUAGCUUUAGCUCAGGAGUUUGAGGCUGCAUUGAGCUGUGAGCUAACCAUUGCACUUCAGCCUGGUGACAGGGAGAGAUCCUGUCCGAGAGAGAGAGAGGGAGGAGGAGGAGGAGGAGGAGGAGGGGGGGGAGGGGAAAGGAGAGGAAUAGACAUCUCAAGAGUAGGAAAAAGUAUAAAAAGUUCAUUAAUACAAGAGGUAUUCAACUUCACUUACAUUUGAAGAAAUGUACAUCAAAACACUGUGAUAUAACCCUCACCUAUAGGAUAAAGAUUUUUUAAAUGGCCAGGUCAUGGUUUGGGGAAAUAAGCAAAUUGCAGUUGGUGAACAUGUAAAU
rnacentral:lncRNA from 13 species